rnacentral:siRNA from 1 species
UAUCAGAGCCUGAAAAGCA